rfam:Deltaproteobacteria bacterium RIFCSPHIGHO2_02_FTLL_38_15 rifcsphigho2_02_scaffold_204, whole genome shotgun sequence.
GUGGGUGUAGCUCAGCUGGUUAGAGCAUCGGGUUGUGGUCCCGAGGGUCGCGGGUUCAAAUCCCGUCACCCACC